UACGGAGGGGGCGAGCGUUAUUCGGAAUUAUUGGGCGUAAAGGGCGCGUAGGCGGCCCUGCAAGUCAAAGGUGAAAUCCCUCGGCUCAACUGAGGAACUGCCUUUGAAACUGCGGGGCUUGAGGCCGGGAGGGGGUAGCGGAAUUCCCAGUGUAGCGGUGAAAUGCGUAGAUAUUGGGAGGAACACCAGUGGCGAAGGCGGCUCACUGGACCGGUUCUGACGCUGAGGCGCGAAAGCGUGGGGAGCAAACGGG
rnacentral:rRNA from 1 species